UAAUACAGAGGGUGCGAGCGUUAAUCGGAAUUACUGGGCGUAAAGCGCGCGUAGACGGUUUUGUAAGUCAGAUGUGAAAUCCCUGGGCUCAACCUGGGAACUGCAUUUGAGACUGCAUGGCUAGAGUAUGGAAGAGGGAAGUGGAAUUUCCGGUGUAGCGGUGAAAUGCGUAGAUAUCGGAAGGAACACCAGUGGCGAAAGCGACUUCCUGGUCCAAUACUGACGUUCAUGUGCGAAAGCGUGGGGAGCAAACA
rnacentral:rRNA from 1 species